rnacentral:rRNA from 1 species
CCCUUAGAUGUUCUGGGCCGCACGCGCGCUACACUGACGAAGUCAGCGAGCAUGUCCUACGCCGUCAGGUGCGGGGAAUCUUGUCAAACUUCGUCGUGAUGGGGAUUGAUUUUUGAAAUUCUUGAUCAUCAACGAGGAAUUCCUAGUAAGCGCAAGUCAGCAGCUUGCGUUGAUUACGUCCCUGCCCUUUGUACACACCGCCCGUCGCUACUACCGAUUGAAUGGUUUAGUGAGAUCUUCGGAUUGGCGCCACUGCGGCUCAGCAAUGGGCUCGGUGGAUGCCGAAAAGUUGAUCAAACUUGAUCAUUUAGAGGAAGUAAAAGUCGUAACA